GUGCUCGCUUCGGCAGCACAUAUACUACAAUUGGAAUGAUACAGAGGAAAUUAGCAUGGCCCCUGAGCAAGGAUGACACACACAAAUUUGUGACAUGUUCCAUAUUGAA